AAUAUUGCACAAUGGGGGAAACCCUGCUGCAGCAACGCCGCGUGAGCGAUGAAGGCCUUCGGGUCGUAAAUCUCUGUCCUAAGAGAAGAUAAUGACGGUACCGUAGGCGGAAGCCCCGGCUAACUACGUGCCACCAGCCGGGGUAAUACGUAGGGGGCAAGCGUUAUCCGGAAUCAUUGGGCGUAAAGGGUGCGUAGGCUGCCCUAUAAGUCAGAGGUCGAAGGCUACGGCUCAAACGUAGUAAGCCUUUGAAAAUGUAGGGCUUGAUUGCAGGAGAGGAGAAGGGAAUUCCUAGUGGAGCGGUGAAAUGCGUAGAUAAUAGGAGGAAAACCAGUGGCGAAGGCGACUCUCUGGACUGAAAAUGACGCUGAGGCACGAAAGCGUGGGUAGCGAACA
rnacentral:rRNA from 1 species